rnacentral:rRNA from 1 species
UAUACCGUGAAACUGCGAAUGGCUCAUUAAAUCAGUUAUCGUUUAUUUGAUCGUACCUUACUACUUGGAUAACCGUGGUAAUUCUAGAGCUAAUACAUGCUGAAAAACCCCGACUUCGGGAGGGGUGUAUUUAUUAGAUAAAAAACCAAUGCCCUUCGGGGCUGCUUGGUGAUUCAUGAUAACUUCGCAGAUCGCAUGGCCUUGCGCCGGCGACGGUUCAUUCAAAUUUCUGCCCUAUCAACUUUCGAUGGUAAGGUAUUGGCUUACCAUGGUUUCAACGGGUAACGGAGGGUUAGUGCUCGACCCCGGAGAAUCCGCCUGAGAAACGGCGAAUACAUCCAAGGAAGGCAGCAGGCGCGCAAAUUACCCAAUGCCAACACGGCGAGGUAGUGACGAGCAAUACUGAUACAGGGCUCUUUUGGGUCUUGUAAUUGGAAUGAGUACAAUUUAAACCUCUUAACGAGGAACAAGUGGAGGGCAAGUCUGGUGCCAGCAGCCGCGGUAAUUCCAGCUCCACGAAAAUGUAUUAAAGUUGUUGCAGUUAAAAAGCUCGUAGUUGAACCUUUGGCCUGGCUGGCAGGUCCGCCUCACCGCGUGCACUUGACCGGCCGGGCCUUCUCUUCUGGAGAACCGCAUGCCCUUCACUGGGUGUGUUGGGGACCAGGACUUUUACUUUGAAAAAAUUAGAGUGUUCAAAGCAGGCCUUUGCUCGAAUACGUUAGCAUGGGAUAAUAGAAUAGGACGUGCGGUCCUAUUUUGUUGGUUUCUAGGACCGCCGUAAUGAUUAAUAGGGACAGUCGGGGGCAUCAGUAUUCAAUUGUCAGAGGUGAAAUUCUUGGAUUUAUUGAAGACUAACUACUGCGAAAGCAUUUGCCAAGGAUGUUUUCAUUAAUCAGUGAACGAAAGUUAGGGGAUCGAAAACGAUCAGAUACCGUUGUAGUCUUAACCAUAAACUAUGCCGACUAGGGAUCGGGCGGUGUUUUCAUUUUAACUCGCUCGGCACCUUACGAGAAAUCAAAGUG